GACAGAGGCCACGAACGUUGUUCGGAAUCACUGGGCAUAAAGCGCACGUAGGCGGCUAGGUCCGUCCAAUGUGAAAGCCCCCGGCUCAACCGGGGAAUUGCAUCGGAUACAGCCUGGCUUGAGGACGGUUGGGGUGAGUGGAACUCCUGGUGGAGCGGUGAAAUGCGUAGAUAUCAGGAGGAACACCGGUGGCGAAAGCGGCUCACUGGACCGUUACUGACGCUGAGGUGCGAAAGCUAGGGGAGCAAAC
rnacentral:rRNA from 1 species